UACGUAGGUGGCAAGCGUUGUCCGGGAUUACGGGGUGUAAAGGGCGUGUAGGCGGGACUGCAAGUCAGAUGUGAAAUUCCCAGGCUCAACCUGGGGGCUGCCUCUGAAACUGUGGUUCUUGAGUGCUGGAGAGGAAAGCGGAAUUCCUAGUGUAGCGGUGAAAUGCGUAGAUAUUAGGAGGAACACCAGUGGCGAAGGCGGCUUUCUGGACAGUAACUGACGCUGAGGAGCGAAAGCGUGUGGAGCAAACAGG
rnacentral:rRNA from 1 species